GGUCCGGUGGUGUAGGGGUUAACAUGCCUGCCUGUCACGCAGGAGAUCGCGGGUUCAAAUCCCGUCCGGACCG
rnacentral:ncRNA from 14 species